GCAAACACCGUCUCACGCGCGAGAGGUGACAUGAAUUUCCUCACGCGCGCGAGCAGAAAUAUGAAUAUUUAAAUUAUCUCCUCCCACUGGUUAGCAUAACAAAUGAGGCGGAAGUUUGUUUAGUCCAUAGUAGUCAAACACAGAGAUCUCAGAUCUCAAUUGCUGAUAGACUAUCGUUGCUGCGGAAACUGCAAACGACCACCUUUGAAACACAACUGAAACGCAACUCACGGCUGCGCUGACAAGGGCAUUCACCUCUUUAUUAGUAAACCCAUUUUAUUUUUUGGUGGAUGAAAACAUUGUGUCAAUAUGCUAUGUCUAUGUUCGCCUUAUUCACCCGGAACGUUCUAAAGACGUUGAGGGGUACACUUCAGGGGUACAUUCGGCAACGCACCAGCUGUCAUGCCGCCUCAUUUUUGUGUGCCCAAAUGUUCGUCUUCAAAGAGAAAAAAAUCCUACCGUGGACAGACUUUCCACCGUUUCCCCAAAGAGCAGGCACUUCGCCGUGAAUGUAUAAAUCACAUCAAGAGGGAUCCUGGUCCAUAUUUCAAGAUCAACGCUGAGACCAAGGUUUGCUCUGAGCACUUUGAGAAGCAGUGUUUUGUAAAGACCGCCCGUGGUAUCACAAAGCUUAGGAUGCCGUACCACUUUGUUCGCCUGGACUUCAGAGAGGACAAAGAGGAGAAUCAUCAUUCGCAGACCGAGAGAUGAUGACCCAUUCCUGAAGUUGGACGCCAGAAUGCAGGAAGGUGCUGUUUAAGAGCCUAGGCGGUGGAAGAAGCACUUGCAGGUAUGCUACCGACCAGGCUCCUCAACAUCAAUCCGAGACGGAAGAUGAACCGGGAUGAAGCAGUUAGAUUGAGACAAGGCGGCCGGAAACUUUGAUGACCUCAAUGACACUGGCUAGGUGAAGGACAUCAAGAAAAUGGCAUCCGGUCACCAGACAUCAGCUCAUAAGCCACAACGUCAUCAACCAUUUUGCGCCAAAAAUGAAGCCGUUCACAUACCAUGGCAUCCUAAGCAGGCAGCACCACACUACUGUGCAACAGUGAGAGAGAGCGGGCAAGGACAAGUAAAACGGACCUACACUACAGCAAGACUUUGACACUUCUCCACGUGAGAGGCAGCCAUCGCCCCCACCGUGGAGCAGUGUGUACCCAGUACCCCCAAAAGAGGAGAUGAUCCGACGCCAUCACAGCCGAUUUCCAAAAUUGUACACCAAACUCUGUAUGGGUGUGUGUGUGUGUGUGAGAUAUUGUAAAACUUUUCAGUCCUUCUUCUAUACUAUACAGUGUAUAAAUAUGCAUUAAAAACCAUUACUGAGGUUAAGAAAUGCAUUAUAACAAAUACAUCUGAUUCAGGUGUACUGUACAUUGAAAUGUCUUUAUUUGCCACAAAUACAUCACAUCCUGGAAACCUGUACAAUGUGUGGAUUCAAAGGUCUGCCAGAUCUUUGUGAUGGCACAGGAUUGCAGUGGAACCCAAACAUAGCCUAGGAACUCCCACGCCAUCUCACCAACUGCCGAUAUGCAGUAUGCCUGAAUUUCCUGUACAGCAAAGAAAUGUAGAGAUUGUGCCUUCAUCGAGAAUAGGUCAUUUGGAAUCACAACAAUUAUUCAAUUUACUUUGUGCGUGUGGUGUAGCUAUUGCUGUUAUUAUGUUACUACUAGUGACCCAUUUAGUUGAGCUUAAUAGUCUACAUGACAUCUCUGCACUUGUGUUACCACUAUUGGGAUUGGCUGCUCCAUAAAUGAAAAUGAGAAAAACUUGCCCGGAUGAAAUGUUAUGAACUGUGUGCGUUGUGCUGCUUGCUGAAGUAACAUGACACCCACAUCACCUUCCAGAAAUAAAGUGUAUACAGGCUACCUAACCAGAGUCCUAGAGACCUGUUGCUGCUGUGUGAUGAAAUCCAGGCAAAGACCCACCUGCUUUGGCAAUUGCUGCAACAUGUAAAAAAGGUAGACAGAUUAGGCCCCUGUAGAUAUGGCAUGUGUAGAUGGAUUCACUUAAUUCUCUAACCACUUAAAUGGCUUGGGUCAGACAAGCUGGGCUGCACACUGACCUCUUCCAUGUUGCCCAUGUGGUUUCGUUGGCUGUGUGUGACCACCUCCGUACAGGGGCAGAUUUAUUUAUUUAUUUAUUAUUAUUUAUUUAUUUAUUAAAAUGUCUGCACCUUUUUAUUAAAUGUAUUGCAUUGCACUGGUAUCACAUUGCAUUAAAUGUACUAGCCAAGUGACACAAACAGAGCAGGUAAAUACAGUCUUGAUCUGUACCAUUUAUGUCACUUCUUAAAGAUUCAAUUAUUCAACUCUAUACUCGAAGAGGCCGGUAUUGCGCUACCAUUUUCCAUGAACCAGUCAACUUCUGGGAGUCAUUGCAGUACUUUGAGAAAGUGAUCUUACUUUCUAGCCUAAUCAUUCAUUGUGCUUGUGUCAGUAUUGUAGUGUCAUUGGUUAUUUACAGUGUGUCGACGCCAUCUACUGGAUACUCCACGCACGGUUCAUUUUCUAUCCACUUAAUCAUUUCAUUCCAAAGCACAGAGUGAGCUCUUUGAUGCAAUGUAGGCUAAAUUCACCCAGAGCUCUAGUUGUGUAUACCCGUUGGAUCGCUGAAUACAUAGCCUACAUUAAAUCCAUAUUUCAGCCUCCGGUCUCAAGUCAACUGCGGCCGUCUUGCCCAGUGUCGUCACCAGCUAUGGAGAACAGUGGCAAAAUGAAUGAUUGUUCCAACCGAUUUCAAUAAAGGGUUUCUGAUCUGACCGCUUGAAUUGACUAUCCAGCUCCCUCUUUUAUUGCAAUGCUUACCAGCAAAAGUAUCAAACACACUUGAAUCCUUACACAUUACAAAUAUCUGACUGGACCAUCGUAGGAAACAGGUUUGUACCGGUAGGCCUAUGUCUCUCAGUCAUGCAUCAUGCACGGAGCUGGAUUUCAGUGAAACAUUGCACUUACAAUAUGUUAACUUAAGGUCUAUGCAAACGUGCAUUUUGGUCUUCUUUGCAAAACAACUAUGUCAUCAUGCCAAAUACCUAGCCUGCUAACUUUAAGCUCUUAAAACACACUCGUCGUGAGCAAAAUGAAGCUUGACAGGAAUAGUCCUAGGCUACAACACGAACCAUAUUCAGUUGAUGAAAUGUCUACUCACUUUAUUCCUCAUCUGCUGUCUGCGAAUCUCAACAAGUUCGCCCAUGAAACAAACAUAUGUAUUAAAAACAAUGUUUUCAUAAAAAUGGGUAAGAAAUAGAGGUAAAUGCCCUUGUCAGCAACCUUCAGUCAUUCCACUCGUCAGUAAACGCGAGCUGCAGUCACCGUAGCAACGAUAUAAACAAUUGAUCUUGAUAUCUGUGUAUGACUAUUUCGGACUAAACAAACUUCC